UCAAGCGGAGGUUUCUUCUCAACGUUCUUUGAUCCGGCAGGAGGGGGGGAAUGGAUGUGGCGGCCUCCAGUGGAGCGAAUCAGGUUGGGGAGCCGGGAUCAGGCACGCGCCGAACUCCGGCCUGAAGUCAGAGACACAAAUACUUGUUUCUCUCUCUUUUCGUCAGCUUUGCUGCGCCUCCUAUUCACCGGCACUGUCAGACGCGGAAAACACACAGCCGAGGGUAUUCUUCUUUUUUUAUAUUGUGUUUUGCGAAUCUCUUCUCCUUUACUUCGCUAUUUGCCAGCGGUUGAAACAAGCAACAACAAUAAAAAAAAAACCUACUGAAGCUUCUCAGUUCAGUUUACCUUUGAAAUAUUUUUGAAAGUGUGGAACAAGGCAGGCGGUCGAAGGAAAAGUUGCCAAGCGGACAGCUACCAGCACCAAGUGGUCAGACGUCUGUCAGGGACGGCAACGCCAGGAGAUGCUGUGCAGUUAGCCGAGUGAAAGAGAUGCGACUGUUGAGACCCUGCAGUGCACAAGUUAUCCUCGCACGGCACGCGCGUGUUCGCCGGCCUUGAGAGCGCGCACGUGCACACAGUGGCCACGACUCCGCUGUCAGCUCAACGCUAUGGCCACCUCCAUCUUCUUCCCUCUUUUGAGUGUGUGUGUGUGCAGGCAAGCGCGUGCGUGCGCCCGUGUGUAUGAGAGAGAAAGAGAGACGGACAGACGAGAGACGAUUGGAGGCGGCGGUUGCCGUUAGGACACAUGCAAAUGUAGUGGUGGGGAUGGGAGAGGAUCGAGGAGAAUGCGGUGAAAAUGCAAGAGGGGAUCAAUGAGAUGUUAUCACCCCCACCCCCUACAAAUGCUUCCCUCGCUACUACCAUCAUCCCCACGUUUCUUCUCUCCUCAGACAGCCGAGGAUGUUGGAGGGAUGCAGUGCUGUACCGCUAGCUUUCGCCGCAGCGUCCUUGGCGUGGCGGACGGCGUGAUGCGAGAGAAGGCGACACGCGUGCGGCUGAGACUGAGCAGCCUUCACUCCUAAUAGCGGGCUGAGGCGCUGGUGCAGAACAUACUCCUCACAGUCCAGGAGAAAGGUGAAGGCCAUCCCGCCAAUCUGCACACAAGAGAAAGUGCAACUUCACAUGCAUGGCUUUAAAGGUCAAGGGUCGUCAGAUGCAAAUAUUCUACUUCUUUUAUUUUUCAUUUAGCUAUUUUCCCAAAUAUGCACAGAAAGGAUAAACUCAUGAUGUUAAGACUCUUACGAAUAGGCCUAAUUAUAUAACAUACAGUCCCAACUCUUCCACAGGCUUAAGCCUUGACAACAUAAAUGGAAUCAUGUACACACCUGGGACCAUAUUCAAGAAGCAAGGGUAAGUUGUUGCCAGGGGUAAAACAAGUUACAGCAGAUGUCCAGACCCUGUGGAUAUUGUGCUGUGUUGCAUUACCCCAGACAAUCUUUGUUACAACUUCAUAACUAUGGUCCCAGGGGUAAUGCAAUGUCUAUGGAGUCUGGGCGUCACUUUGUAGCUAAAGAAACAAGACACUUGUCCUUGAUUUCUCCACUUUUCCCUGGCCAACAACCGCUUACCCUUGCAUCAUAAAUAUGGGCUCUCAGGUCUGUGUUUCUCACUUCUUUCUGCAGGUCUCAAAAAUGGAAGUGAGAUAUUCAACCAGAUCUGGGGAAACAAUAUUUUGCAUCGAACUCUGUCCAGUCAUUAGAAAAAUACUUUUGCACCAUGUUUGACUUUAACAAAGAAUAUCGCUUCCUAUGUCGUAGUUGCCUUAACACAUUGCACCUGGGGUGUGUAGUGUUUAACACUGAGAGCUAUAGAAUCAGCAGGUAUUGACCAAAGAUUGCAUGAUGACUAGUUAAUUUGCCAGAAUCUGUAUCUUAUUUGGAGGAGCUAAUUCUCAGAUACAUGCUUUGAGUUGUGAGCCUAUAAAGGCUUUUUUGUUUUUAGAUACAUAUCUGAAGCUGAGAGCCUAUGAAUGGCUCUGUGUUGAACUGUGAGCCUAUGAAGACACAACCACCUUGACAUGACUUGACAUCCUUCAGUUGCAGUGUUUUUGUGACAGACAUCUUUGAUUGGUUUUUCAUCUUUUUUUACUGUGAAUAAAAUUUGUUAAUAACUAUA